rnacentral:rRNA from 1 species
GAGCAAUCCCUGAUAAAGUGGCGCACGGGUGAGUAACACGUGAAUGAUCUACUCCGAGUGGGGAAUAACUGAGAGAAAUCUUAGCUAAUACCGCAUAACACUUACGAGUCAAAGCAGCAAUGCGCUUGGAGAGGAGUUCGCGGCCGAUUAGCUAGUUGGCGGGGUAAUGGCCCACCAAAGGCGAUGAUCGGUAUCCGGCCUGAGAGGGCGCACGGACACACUGGAACUGAAACACGGUCCAGACUCCUACGGGAGGCAGCAGUGGGGAAUUUUGCGCAAUGGGGGAAACCCUGACGCAGCAACGCCGCGUGGAGGAUGAAGUACUUCGGUACGUAAACUCCUUUCGAUCGGGACGAUAAUGACGGUACCGGAAGAAGAAGCCCCGGCUAACUUCGUGCCAGCAGCCGCGGUAAUACGAGGGGGGCAAGCGUUGUUCGGAAUUAUUGGGCGUAAAGGGUGCGUAGGCGGUUUGGUAAGUCUUGUGUGAAAUCUCCGGGCUCAACUCGGAGUCUGCAUAGGAAACUGCCGGGCUUGAGUGUGGGAGAGGUGAGUGGAAUUUCCGGUGUAGCGGUGAAAUGCGUAGAUUCGGGAAGGAACACCUGUGGCGAAAGCGGUCACUGGACCAUUAAGGGAGGCUGAUGCACGAAAAGCCUAGGGGAGCAAACCAGGAUUAGAUACCCUGGUAGUCCUUAGCCCUAAGGAUGAUGUUGUGUGGCAGGUACCCAAUC